GGUCAAGUGAAUAAGGGCAUACGGUGGAUGCCUUG
rnacentral:rRNA from 4 species